CCUAUUUCUAGGUGAUUUAUUCGUUAAUUAAUAACCUAAAUAUCUUAAAUUUUCAACGAUGGAUAUCUAGGCUCCUAUAACGAUGAAGAACGCAGCGAAAUGCGAUACGCAAUGCGAAUUGCAGAACCGCGAGUCAUCAGAUCUUUGAACGCAAGUGGCGGUGGUUUCGGCCAUCAUGUUUGUUUCAGUGUGUUCGGUUAAUUGCAUCAUAGAAUUAAAUGUGACUGAAGAAAUUCUUUCACUUAAUACGAAGUAAUGUCAACCUAGACAUUAAACGAACAGGCAACAAUAUGUUGAUAACGUUUAAGUGUUGAAAGUUGUAAAACCAUUACUUGAUAGCUAUUUUAUCCAACAAUAACACCUGAAAUAAGCAAGGUUACCCGCU
rnacentral:rRNA from 1 species